GGCCGUGGGGGUCUACAUGCAGUCGACGCUGAGCAUCUUCUGGUGUGGAUGAGAGGGGAACGGGUGAGUAACACGUGGGUAACCUGCCCUGUACUUUGGGAUAAGCCCUGGAAACGGGGUCUAAUACCGGAUAUGACUCUGCGCUGCAUGGGGUGGGGUGGAAAGUUUCGGCGGUACAGGAUGGGCCCGCGGCCUAUCAGCUUGUUGGUGGGGUGAUGGGCUACCAAGGCGACAACAGGUAGCCGGCCUGAGAGGGUGACCGGCCACACUGGGACUGAGACACGGCCCACACUCCUACGGGAGGCAGCAGUGGGGAAUAUYGCACAAUGGRCGGWWGCMUGAUGCASCGCACGCCUGACGUGGAUGGGAUGACGKCSUYYGGGUUAGUMAUACCUCKUUCAKSCAGGGACGAWAGMGUAAGUGUACGGUASCAUGGAGAAGAACGCACCUGGCUAACCUACGUGCCASCAGCCCGCRGUUAAUACGUAGSGAUGCAAUGCGUUGUCMGGAAUUAUUGGGCAGUAAAGAGCUCGUAKGCUGGCYUGUYGCGUCUGCUGUGAAAAUCCGGGGACUUAACUCCGGACMUGCAGUGGAUACGGGCAGGCUUGAGUUCGGUAGGGGAGACUGKAAUUCCUGGUGUAGCGGUGAAAUGCGCASAUAUCASGAGGAACACCGGUGGCGAAGGYGKGUCUCUGGRCCGAUACUGACRCUGAGGAGCGAAAGCGUGGGGAGCGAACAGGAUUAGAUACCYUGGKAGUCCACGCUGUAAACGUUGKGCGCUAGGUGUGGGUGACUUCCACGUUGUCCGYKCCGYAGCUMACGCAUUAWGCGCCCCGCCUSGGGAGUACRSCCGCAAGGCUAAAACUCAMAGGAAUUGACGGGGGCCCGCACAAGCGGCGGAGCAUGUGKAUUAAUUUCKAUGCRACGCGMAGAACCUUACCUGGGSCUUGACAUGCACUGGWAACMGGCAGAGAUGUCGGCCCCCCUUGUGGGCCGSUGUGCAGGAUGGUGCAUGUGCUGUMGUCAGCWUCGUCGUCGUCGAGAUGAUUGUGGUUAAGUCCCCGCAACGAGCGCAACCCCYUCGUCCUGUGUUGUCCAGCCGMGUAWUGGUCGGCGGGACUCGCGGGAGCCUGCCGGGGUCAACUCGGAGGAAGGUGGGGAUGACGUCAAGUCAUCAUGCCCCUUAUGUCCAGGGCUUCACACAUCCUACAAUGGCUGGUACAGAGGGCUGCGAUACCGUGAGGUGGAGCGAAUCCCUUAAAGCCGGUCUCAGUUUGGAUCUCAGUCUGCAACUCGACUGCGUGAAGUCGGAGUCGUUAGUAAUCGCAGAUCAGCAACGGUGCGGUGAAUACGUUCCCGGGCCUUGUACACACCGCCCGUCCCGUCAUGAAAGUCGCGUAACACCCGAAGCCCAUGCCCCAACCCGUGAGGAGGAGUGUCGAAUGCGCCC
rnacentral:rRNA from 1 species